GAUGAACGCUGGCGGCGUGCCUAAUACAUGCAAGUCGAGCGAACAGACGAGGAGCUUGCUCCUCUGACGUUAGCGGCGGACGGGUGAGUAACACGUGGAUAACCUACAUAUAAGACUGGGAUACCUUCGGGAAACCGGAGCUAAUACCGGAUAAUAUAUUGAACCGCAUGGUUCAAUAGUGAAAGACGGUUUUGAUGUCACUUAUAGAUGGAUCCGCGCCGCAUUAGCUAGUUGGUAAGGUAACGGCUUACCAAGGCAACGAUGCGUAGCCGACCUGAGAGGGUGAUCGGCCACACUGGAACUGAGACACGGUCCAGACUCCUACGGGAGGCAGCAGUAGGGAAUCUUCCGCAAAGGGCGAAAGCUUGACGGAGCAACGCCGCGUGAGUGAUGAAGGUCUUCGGAUCGUAAAACUCUGUUAUUAGGGAAGAACAAAUGUGUAAGUAACUAUGCACGUCUUGACGGUACCUAAUCAGAAAGCCACGGCUAACUACGUG
rnacentral:rRNA from 1 species